UGGGGAUUAGUGGCGAACGGGUGAGUAACACGUGAGUAACCUGCCCUUGACUCUGGGAUAAGCCUGGGAAACUGGGUCUAAUACCGGAUAUGACCUUCCAUCGCAUGGUGGUUGGUGGAAAGCUUUUGUGGUUUUGGAUGGACUCGCGGCCUAUCAGCUUGUUGGUGGGGUAAUGGCCUACCAAGGCGACGACGGGUAGCCGGCCUGAGAGGGUGACCGGCCACACUGGGACUGAGACACGGCCCAG
rnacentral:rRNA from 1 species